AACGAACGCUGGCGGCAGGCUUAACACAUGCAAGUCGAACGCUCCGCAAGGAGAGUGGCAGACGGGUGAGUAACGCGUGGGAAUCUACCCAUCUCUACGGAACAACUCCGGGAAACUGGAGCUAAUACCGUAUACGUCCUUCGGGAGAAAGAUUUAUCGGGGAUGGAUGAGCCCGCGUUGGAUUAGCUAGUUGGUGGGGUAAAGGCCUACCAAGGCGACGAUCCAUAGCUGGUCUGAGAGGAUGAUCAGCCACAUUGGGACUGAGACACGGCCCAAACUCCUACGGGAGGCAGCAGUGGGGAAUAUUGGACAAUGGGCGCAAGCCUGAUCCAGCCAUGCCGCGUGAGUGAUGAAGGCCCUAGGGUUGUAAACCUCUUUCAGCAGGGAAGAAGCGAAAGUGACGGUACCUGCAGAAAAAGCACCGGCUAACUACGUGCCAGCAGCCGCGGUAAAAC
rnacentral:rRNA from 1 species